AUUCGCCCGAGUUGCAGUUAUUCGUUGUAAAGGGGAGGAUGAGUAGAUACGGUCGAGAGGCACAGAGAAAGGGAGAGAAUAGACGCACCUUUCGACCGUCUCCUUCGAUCUCUGCUCCAUCGCCUCUCCGUCGUCUCGCCGAUCAACUCUCAAGGUAGUUCGACAUGAUCUGCUGAUCGGUACUGUGAGGGAGUGAUGGACUUUUAGCAGGAUUAGCUUGACAUAUCCGCAGAGACCAUCCUGUAAAAUCAUGGCACGAGAUCUGCAGUUAUAUCCUCUAUAGCCUUCAUCCCUUGAUCAGUACCUUACGGCUGUGGCUAUGUGGAAGUUCACUUCCAAUGUCAUCUCAAGCAUCAGACUGAAGAAAAACUCCGGCAAACCCAGUCGUGCGUGUUCGGAGUGCUCAGAUGAUGAGAAUUCCUCAAGUCUUAGCCGGGAGGAAGGCUUGGAAUGCCCAAUCUGCUGGGAAUCUUUCAACAUUGUCGAGAACGUUCCUUACGUGUUAUGGUGUGGGCACACGCUCUGUAAAAACUGCGUCCUCGGCCUUCAGAUGGCCGUCUUGAAUUUCCCAUCUAAGCAGAUCAAGAUCCCCUUCCUCAUUUCCUGCCCGUGGUGCCACUUAUUGUCACUUCGACUUGUUUAUGGUGGCAACCUGAGGUUUCCCAGGAAGAACUUCUUCCUUCUCUGGAUGGUCGAGAGCUUGAAUGGAGAAAGGGAGAGGUUUCUCUCUGCCUCAUGUCAGGACACUCAAUUGGUUUCGUCUCCAAGAAAUCAUUUAGCUCUUGGAAGCCAGGCAGGCGUGGGAAGCCCCAGGAGGCUUCCAACCCCGCGAAGUUCGGGACAACCCUGGCCGCACAUUGAACUUGUUCCCAGCAAUGUGGUGGCCCGCCAAGCUUCUUUGACGAAAUCCAUUGAUUUAUUCAUUAAUUUCAUGUCAAAGUUCCCAAUGGUUAUCAUAUUCCUCCUUAUUCUAUUCUUUGCAGUUCCUGGAUGUGCUCUCAUCCUGGUCAUCUAUGUUUUGCUGACAGUUCUAUUUGCAAUCCCGUCAUUCUUGGUGUUAUACUUUGCAUACCCUGUGUUAGGAUGGCUGGUGAAAGAGAUAACUUCUUAAGAUGUCAGUGCCAGAUCUGGAAGCCCGGGAAACUGCUUAAUCUGACGACAUUUCGGAUGAUCAAGAUCCAGUGAUCAUGGUGGAUUUCUCUUGACAUUCUUUCCCUCUCUGCUUAGAUCGUAUGAUGAAGUACAGAAGAAAAGGGAAAUGGAUUUAGCUUUUUGCAGAUGACAGUGUUUGGAUUCAUCUGUUGCUGCAAUGUUUUUAACCAUGUUCUCCCCUUAGAGAGUGUUUCCAGUUGAACUUACGUGAAAUGUAUAGAGCAAUUCGUGAUAUUGAUUAUCUUGCAAACUGUACAAAGACCGCUUGGGUUAAACUCACUGAAACAUAACUUCGACGAGUAA